rnacentral:tRNA from 1 species
GCCGACCUGGCGCAAUUGGCAGCGCAUCUGUCUUGUAAACAGAGGGUUGCGGGUUCGAGUCCCGCGGUCGGCU